AUGCUUCUCUCCAGCCUUCUGAGGGUGGUCGUGGCUUCACUGUGUUUAGGAUCCAGUAUUGCCCAGAAAGUAACUCAAGACCAACCACCAAUGUCAGUGCAGGAGAAAGAAACUGUGACCCUGGACUGCACAUAUGACAUCAGUAUUACAACUUAUAGUCUAUGCUGGUACAAGCAACCCAGCAGUGGGGUGAUGACCUUUCUCAUUCGCCAGGACUCUUCUAACAAGGCAAAUGCCACAGAAGGUCGCUACUCAUUGAAUUUCCAGAAGGCAAGCAAAUUCAUCACACUUACCAUCUCAGCUUCACAACUGGAGGACUCUGCAGUGUAUUUCUGUGCAAUGAGUGAGCCCACAGUGAGAGCCGUGUAG